UAUCAUGUUCCCAUUUCAGUUCCUUUCAUUUGAUGGUUGCAACUUUCCACAAUUCUGAUCGCUACAGCAACACUGGAGUCCACCAUUGGAGUUGUCAAUUUCCAGGUAUUGACAAAGCAACCCAUCUAGAAUAACCUUGAAUUUGUUUUGAUCAAUUUGACUUUGCUGACAAACCCUCCGAUUACACCUUUAUCCAUCUUUUUUGGUAAUUUACAUGUUACGUUCUGAACCUAAAUUUACCGGUUUUCUAGUCUUUCGGAUGGGGACGUUAAACUGUUGGUUGCAUCAUGAGUAUGAAAAUAUGUGCAAAUUUGUGUGAUGUCACCUACUCCCAAGAUUAGGAGGUCAAGUUUUAGUAAAGGGGAAAAGUAAG
rnacentral:lncRNA from 1 species